ACCUUCGUGGCGUAGCGGUCAGCACGCUCGACGCGUAUUCGAGAGGUCCGUGGUUCGAUUCCCGGCGAAUGCG
rfam:Stegodyphus mimosarum contig106517, whole genome shotgun sequence.